ACCUCUGGGCCACCGUAGUUUCGGCAUAAAAAAGCAACGACUUUAAUGUUAAGGGGUUUAAUGUUAAUACUCCAGCUACUGCAGAUAUUGUAGAACAGAAGUGAAGCUAGAAGUCUAUGUUCCAACAGGUAAAAAACAUUACACUUAGAGUAAAAAUUACAGCUUAGUUUCAAAACCCAAUUCAACCAAAUGACAACUGUGCUGGACUACAAUUCCCAAGAUGCACUGCAGCAGCAACAAACAUCUAAUAAGAGCUUUACAUUCUGUUGUUUCUGCUCACUUUAUGUAUAAACCUUACUGCAUUAGAAACAGUUGUAAAAUAGUUGUAGUUCUCUGUAGCAGUGACCGCUAAGGCUCAUGGGUAAUGUAGUAUCUAGAGUCUAUUCAUGAACCAGACAUUUUUAACGGUUUUGCAUAAUUUUAUUGUUUCUUUUCAUUUUUUUUUUCCGCAAACCUAAAAGAAACAGUGAGACGUUCCCGCCCCUUCUGGUCACGUGACAAAUUUACGACAAAUUCCAGAACAUUCAACGCAAGAAGCGAAAAUACCAGCAGCCUGAACAGUCGAUCAAAACGUUCAGACGGAUAUUUCUGUCAGUGAAACUAAAGAGUGUUGCUGUUUUAUGUUUUUUUAUUUUAAUUUUUUUUAUUUUUUUAUUUUUUUAUUUUGUUAGUCGUCUCCUCAGCUCGCAGCCGAUAAACAACAGGGUUUUUUUCCUCUUCUGGGUCUGAUUAAAAAAGUAAAAAAAAAAAAAAAAAAAAAAACAAAUAGAUGCUUCUUCUUCUUCGGUUGUUUUUUUGGAAAGUGAAAGCUGUUUUUAGCGUCGGUAUCUUCCUUCGC